rnacentral:rRNA from 1 species
UACGUAGGGUGCAAGGCGUUGUCCGGAAUUAUUGGGCGUAAAGAGCUCGUAGGCGGUUUGUCGCGUCUGCUGUGAAAACCCGAGGCUCAACCUCGGGCCGCAGUGGGUACGGGCAGACUAGGGUGCGGUAGGGGAGAUUGGAAUUCCUGGUGUAGCGGUGGAAUGCGCAGAUAUCAGGAGGAACACCAAUGGCGAAGGCAGAUCUCUGGGCCGUAACUGACGCUGAGGAGCGAAAGCGUGGGGAGCGAACAGG